AUUAAGUUUUAACCAUUAAAAAAAUUGAUAUGAUUAGUAUAAGAACAUUAGUUCUUGAAUGAACAAGGUAUAAAAUUUACACCCACUUUCUGAGUGUACAUAUGGCAUUGCUCAAAUUAGAAUUAGUCGCACAUAUAUCGGAGAUAUAAGUUGGAUUAGAUACUCUUAAAAAUAAACGGUUCAUUUUAUUGCGAAGUCGUUUUCGAAGAUUGAUUGGUGGAAGCUAAA
rnacentral:lncRNA from 1 species